UCGGGAAUUUUGGGCAAUGGGGGAAACCCUGACCCAGCAACGCCGCGUGAAGGAUGAAGUAUUUCGGUAUGUAAACUUCGAAAGAAUAGGAAGAAUAAAUGACGGUACUAUUUAUAAGGUCCGGCUAACUACGUGCCAGCAGCCGCGGUAAUACGUAGGGACCAAGCGUUGUUCGGAUUUACUGGGCGUAAAGGGCGCGUAGGCGGCAUGACAAGUCACUUGUGAAAUCUCUGGGCUUAACCCAGAACGGCCAAGUGAUACUGUCGCGCUAGAGUGCAGAAGGGGCAAUCGGAAUUCUUGGUGUAGCGGUGAAAUGCGUAGAUAUCAAGAGGAACACCUGAGGUGAAGACGGGUUGCGUGGGCUGACACUGACGC
rnacentral:rRNA from 1 species